GCCUGGGUAGCUCAGUGGUUGAGCAUCUGCCUUCUACUCAGGGCAUGAUCCCAGAGUCCUGGGAUCAAGUCCCGCAUCAGGCU
rnacentral:tRNA from 1 species